rnacentral:rRNA from 1 species
UACGUAGGGUGCGAGCGUUGUCCGGAAUUAUUGGGCGUAAAGGGCUCGUAGGCGGUCUGUCGCGUCGGGAGUGAAAACUCAGGGCUUAACCCUGAGCCUGCUUCCGAUACGGGCAGACUAGAGGUAUGCAGGGGAGAACGGAAUUCCUGGUGUAGUGGUGGAAUGCGCAGAUAUCAGGAGGAACACCGGUGGCGAAGGCGGUUCUCUGGGCAUUACCUGACGCUGAGGAGCGAAAGUGUGGGGAGCGAACAGG